GAGGGUCGGUCCCUCGAAAUCUGAGUACAGGCUCUGGUUUCAAACCACCACGAGCUGCCAAGUUCAAAAGGCUUGGUGAUGAGCGUCGUUGGAAAAGGCAUACUAGUUAAAAUGUCAGGU
rfam:Sphingobacterium sp. ML3W, complete genome.